UCGCCGGCGACGACUGGCGAGGGUGGGUCACCACCGGGAAGUCCGCAGUCGGGGCAUCGCCCGCCUGGGUGCCCCGC
rnacentral:ncRNA from 2 species